ACGGGAGGCAGCAGUCGGGAAUAUUGCGCAAUGGAGGAAACUCUGACGCAGUGACGCCGCGUAUAGGAAGAAGGUUUUCGGAUUGUAAACUAUUGUCGUUAGGGAAGAGAAAGGACAGUACCUAAGGAGGAAGCUCCGGCUAACUACGCGCCAGCAGCCGCGGUAAUACGUAGGGAGCGAGCGUUAUCCGGAAUUAUUGGGUGUAAAGGGUGCGUAGUCGGGAAAAUAAGUUAGUUGUGAAAUCCCUCGGCUCAACUGAGAAACUGCAACUAAAACUGUUGUUCUUGAGUGCAGGAGAGGUACGUGGAAUUCCUAGUGUAGCGGUGAAAUGCGUAGAUAUUAGGAGGAACACCAGUGGCGAAGGCGGCUUACUGGACUGUAACUGACGUUGAGGCACGAAAGUGUGGGGAGCAAACAGGAUUAGAUACCCUGGUA
rnacentral:rRNA from 1 species